AGCAUCCUGAAAUGUACGAUAACUCCUGUUGUUUUGAACCUACAGAUACUUUAAACGGGAUUCCUACAUUGUCUGGCGGCUGUCAAGCCCUCACUACGGAAAACAUGCUUUUUCGGAGGAUUGGAAGGGAAGGCAAAAGUGCAGAUUGCGGUUACCCACCUAGCAUAGCUAGGAGUCAAAAGACAGGAACCGGCAUUUUGGGGAUAUA
rnacentral:other from 1 species